AGAUAAAACUUUACAAAUUUCUCGUUUUUCUAUCAAAAACAAGAUGAUUUCCUUAAGGUGUUCAUUUUACCACCCCUUCCCCUACUCAAUCAAUAGUAUACUGAAUAUUUAAGGUUCACUUACGCCACCAUUCGAAAAUAUUUCAAACUGGUGCUUCAAACCAUCCCUUCUAAAAAGCGCGGUUGAUGCGAUACGUUACUGAUUUGUUUGGGAUCCAUUGGAUCUCAAGUAUCCGAGACGGAUUGUUGUCUAUUAAAGGAAUUUGAGAAUGAAACAUCAAAUUUGUUUUUCAAUAGAACUCGAUUAAAUAGACUAACAAUUUUGCAUAUUUUGUAUUUUAUUUUUAACACCCAACUAUAUAGAUGUUUACUUUUCUUUUCACAGAUACAGAUAUUUUUUCCUUCCAACCUAAUGGAAUUAGCCGUAAUUUGCUGUACAUGCUCGCAGUUGGAAUUGUGUCAUUCACCAUUUUAUUGUUAAAGGAGUUGCGCUAUUUGAACAUGAACAUCACAUGUAAAAAUCCGUGUUUAAAAGCACCGAUCGCAUCCAUUACGGAAUCCAAGGAAACGGUAGCCAUCAAUGAAGAUUCCGAUGUAGCCGAUGAAAAACAACGAAUUGCUUCAUUUGAACAACAUGAUCUUAUUGACCACACGUUGGUACUGAAAGCGGUAUCAAAAUACUACGGAUCGUUUUGCGCGGUAAAGGAAAUCUCUUUGGUAGUGCAGGAUUUCGAAUGUUUCGGAUUACUAGGCGUUAACGGCGCUGGUAAGACUUCGACCUUCAAGAUGUUAACAGGCGAUGAAAACUUAUCAUGUGGAGAUGCUUGGGUUCGAGGUAUCAGCAUGCGCACGAAAAUGAAUGAAGUCAACCGAAUGAUCGAUAUUGCCCUCAGUUUGACGCGCUCCUUGAAGACUUGACCGGGCGUGAAUCGUUAUGGAUCUUCGGGCUUUUGAGAGGCGUACCAAACAAUUUGAUCAAAUUAGUUGCUUUGAAAUUAGCUAAUGAUCUCGGUUUUUCAAAGCAUUUUGACAAACAAAUCAAAACUUAUAGCGGUGGCAACAAAAGAAAGUUAAGCACCGCCUUGGCACUAAUAGGGAAUCCUGUGAUCAUCUACUUGGACGAACCGACUACAGGGAUGGAUCCCGGUGCGAAACGAAACUUCUGGAACGUAAUAUGUCGCAUACGCACUAUGGGAAAGGCGAUCGUACUGACGUCACACAGUAUGGAGGAAUGUGAAGCUCUCAGCACAAGGCUUGCGAUUAUGGUAAACGGAGAAUUUAAGUGCCUAGGAUCUGCGCAACAUUUGAAAAAUAAGUUUACAGAGGGAUAUUUCCUGACAAUUAAGCUAAAAAAAUGUGAUAACGAGCAGUUGGAGAACAAAACAAAUCUAGUCAUGCGGUAUAUUGAAAGCAACUUCAACGGAGCUCAACUCAGAGAACAGUAUUUAGAUUAUUUGACGUACCAUAUAAUGGAGACGUCGCUAAAAUGGUCAUCGAUGUUUGGGCUGAUUGAGCAAGCUAAAAUUCAGUUCGCUAUUGAAGACUACGCGCUUGGGCAAACAUCACUCGAACAAGUAUUUCUAGCGCUGACAGCAUAUCAGCGAAGCAGUUAUUAAAUAAGUAAUGCAACACUAUCUCAGUAUGGAAAUAAUUUAUCUCGAAUAGUAACACGCAGUUAAACUGGUGCUCGCUUUAGAAUUGUACUUUACAACACAGACAGUGAUACUUACUGAUUGCAAUGCAACAUACAUAAAUAUUAAUUUAUUUGAAAAA
rnacentral:lncRNA from 1 species